rnacentral:lncRNA from 1 species
UGGGCUUGACCUCAAGUAGUAGUCUGUUGGUCAGAAGGGGCAGUCCUGUGCCAGAGGUUAAGCUCUGGCGGGUGUCUGCCUUGCAGGUGGAGGGGUAAACUGGGCCUACUGAGAGCCUGUGUCCUGUGCGGGGCUGGUGUGGGUGGAUCUGGGCCACCGGGCUUGACCAUCCAUGGUACUCUCCAGGUUGGAAGGGCUAAAUUUUUUCUUUUAACAUAUUAAAUUGCCCAUUAAAUAACCUUGGAUUAACAAUGAAAUAUUUCAAUGAAACAGCUAAAUAAGUAUAAUUUAUUUGUUUCUUCCACAGCAAUGAAAAACCCUUCAACUAUGAUCCUUGAAGUCUAUUGGAGAGAGAUACAAACAAAAAAUCUUGAAAUAGCCAGACAGAGUGGCUCAGGCCAGCAGCUUGGGAGGCUGAGGUAGGAGGAUCAAAAGUUCAAGAUCAGCCUCAGCAAUUCAGCAAGUCCAGACGCAAUUUAAUCAGAUGCUGUCUCAAAAUAUAUGCCUGGCUCAGGACCACCCCACGGAUCCGCAUGGGACCCCAGGUCCAGGCUCUGGCCUAGGACCACACUGAGGACAUGCAGACCCCCACUGGACCAUAGCCCUGGCCUAAGACCAUCUCAAUGGCCUGGGUGAGAGCCAAGGAUAAGUUCUAGUGAAAAGCCAGCAUCUACCUCAGAGCAAAGCCUGUCCAAGGAAGGGGACGUGACCCUUGUCCUUGGAAAGACCCACAGAGCACUCCUAGGCACAUACCCACCCUGCUGAGUUUAUCUAAAAAUAACCAGAGAGAUCUGUGAGCCAGGUGUCCCUGACUCAGUCAGGCUAGGUGGAGACCCAUAGCAACCCCCUAGCAGCCACCAAUCAGCAUAAGACAGGGAAAUACCUGGGAUGCCAGAUGACCUUCCCAGUAGUUUAUGGUGGUUGAUAACGUGUUGGGAAACCAUGUAGUUCAGCAGUACUCCCCCUCAUGGCUUAAACCAAUCAGUUCAAAUGAAUCCCCCUCUUGUAGUAACCAAUCACCCUUACUCAACUUGUUCCCACCAGUGGAUGUGCUAAUCAUGUUUUAGAGUUGUUUUAUGAUUUUCCAGCGGUGUGUGAUGAUUUGCUAAGAGAGGCUAUGAUGUAUGUGAAGUCCCUGCCUUCCCCAAAGAGUGUAUAAAACUGCUGCAAAACUUGGGCUCAGGGCCUCUCAGCGUCACCAGUUGCUGUGUGCGCACAGAGGACCGAAC